GAUGAACGCUGGCGGCGUGCCUAAUACAUGCAAGUCGAGCGAACGGACGCGGCGCUUGCUUCUCUGAUGUUAGCGGCGGACGGGAGAGUAACACGUGGAUCACCUACCUAUAAGACUGGGAUCACUUCGGGAAACCGGAGCUUAUACCGUAUAAUAUUUUGAACCGCAUGGUGCAAAAGUGAAAGACGGCCUUGCUGUCACUUAUAGAUGGAUCCGCGCUGCAUUAGCUAGUUGGUAGGGUAACGGCUUACCAAGGCAACGAUGCAUAGCCGACCUGAGAGGGUGAUCGGCCACACUGGAACUGAGACACGGUCCAGACUCCUACGGGAGGCAGCAGUAGGGAAUCUUCCGCAAUGGGCGCAAGCCUGACGCAGCAACGCCGCGUGAGUGAUGAAGGUCUUCGGAUCGUAAAACUCUGUUAUUAGGGAAGAACAGAUGUGUAAGUAAAUGUGCACAUAUUGACGGUACCGAAUCAAGAAGCCACGGCUAACUACGUG
rnacentral:rRNA from 1 species